GACAGAGGUGGCGACCGUUGUUCGGAAUCACUGGGCAUAAAGCGCGUGUAGGCGGCAUUGUAAGUCGGGUGUGAAAUCCCUCGGCCUAACCGAGGAAUUGCGCUCGAAACUACUUUGCUUGAGGAUCAGAGGGGAGCCUGGAAUUCCUGGUGGAGCGGUGAAAUGCGUUGAUAUCAGGAGGAACACCGGCGGCGAAGGCGAGGCUCUGGCUGAUUUCUGACGCUGAGACGCGAAAGCUAGGGGAGCAAACGGGAUUAGAUACCCGAGUAGU
rnacentral:rRNA from 1 species